rnacentral:rRNA from 1 species
CCUACGGGUGGCAGCAGUGAGGAAUAUUGGUCAAUGGCCGUAAGCCUGAACCAGCCAAGUAGCGUGAGGGAUGACUGCCCUAUGGGUUGUAAACUUCUUUUAUACGGGAAUAAAGUGCUGCACGUAUCCUGCUUUGCAUGUACCUUAUGAAUAAGGAUCGGCUAACUCCGUGCCAGCAGCCGCGGUAAUACGGAGGAUCCGAGCGUUAUCCGGAUUUAUUGGGUUUAAAGGGAGCGUAGGCGGGUUUUUAAGUGUGAUGUGAAAGUUUGCGGCUCAACCAUAAGAUUGCAGUUGAAACUGGCAGCCUUGAGUACGCUAGAGGCAGGCGGAAUUCGUGGUGUAGCGGUGAAAUGCUUAGAUAUCACGAAGAACCCCGAUUGCGAAGGCAGCCUGCUGGAGUGUUACUGACGCUGAAGCUCGAAAGUGUGGGUAUCAAACAGGAUUAGAUACCCGAGUAGUC